rnacentral:rRNA from 1 species
UACGUAGGGUGCGAGCGUUGUCCGGAAUUACUGGGCGUAAAGAGCUCGUAGGUGGUUUGUCGCGUUGUUCGUGAAAACCUGAGGCUUAACCUUGGGCGUGCGGGCGAUACGGGCAGACUGGAGUACUGCAGGGGAGACUGGAAUUCCUGGUGUAGCGGUGGAAUGCGCAGAUAUCAGGAGGAACACCGGUGGCGAAGGCGGGUCUCUGGGCAGUAACUGACGCUGAGGCGCGAAAGCGUGGGGAGCGAACAGG